rnacentral:rRNA from 1 species
AGCGAACGCUGGCGGCAGGCCUAACACAUGCAAGUCGAACGAACUCUUCGGAGUUAGUGGCGGACGGGUGAGUAACACGUGGGAACGUGCCUUUUGGUUCGGAAUAACUCAGGGAAGCUUGUGCUAAUACCGAAUGUGCCCUUCGGGGGAAAGAUUUAUCGCCAUUAGAGCGGCCCGCGUCUGAUUAGCUAGUUGGUGAGGUAACGGCUCACCAAGGCGACGAUCAGUAGCUGGUCUGAGAGGAUGACCAGCCACACUGGGACUGAGACACGGCCCAGACUCCUACGGGAGGCAGCAGUGGGGAAUCCUGCGCAAUGGGCGAAAGCCUGACGCAGCCAUGCCGCGUGAAUGAUGAAGGUCUUAGGAUUGUAAAAUUCUUUCACCGGGGACGAUAAUGACGGUACCCGGAGAAGAAGCCCCGGCUAACUUCGUG